rnacentral:rRNA from 1 species
AUUGAACGCUGGCGGCAGGCCUAACACAUGCAAGUCGAGCGGAUGAGAGGAGCUUGCUUCUCGAUUCAGCGGCGGACGGGUGAGUAAUGCCUAGGAAUCUGCCUGAUAGUGGGGGACAACGCUUCGAAAGGAACGCUAAUACCGCGUACGUCCUACGGGAGAAAGCAGGGGACCUUCGGGCCUGGCGCUAUCAGAUGAGCCUGGGUCGGAUUAGCUAGUUGGUGAGGUGAUGGCUCACCAAGGCGACGAUCCGUAACUGGUCUUAGAGGAUGAUCAGUCACACUGGAACUGAGAAACGGUCCAGACUCCCACGGGAGGCAGCAGUGGGGAAUAUUGGACAAUGGGCGAAAGCCUGAUCCAGCCAUGCCGCGUGUGUGAAGAAGGUCUUCGGAUUGUAAAGCACUUUAAGUUGGGAGGAAGGGUUGUAGAUUAAUACUCUGCAAUUUUGACGUUACCGACAGAAUAAGCACCGGCUAACUCUGUGCCAGCCGCCGCGGUAAUAC